UACGUAGGGGGCAAGCGUUGUCCGGAUUUAUUGGGCGUAAAGAGCGUGUAGGCGGCUUUACAGGUCCGUUGUGAAAACUCGAGGCUCAACCUCGAGACGCCGGUGGAAACCGUAAGGCUAGAGUCCGGAAGAGGAGAGUGGAAUUCCUGGUGUAGCGGUGAAAUGCGCAGAUAUCAGGAGGAACACCCGUGGCGAAGGCGGCUCUCUGGACCACUACUGACGCUGAGGCGCGAAAGCUAGGGGAGCAAACAGG
rnacentral:rRNA from 1 species